CGCGAAUUCGCCCUUGUGGGUGCCCGCCGAUUCCUUUAUUUUUCAUGCUUGAGACCGUGAUUCCGGGGAGGCUAGUUUCACCGUCUUAUUAUGGCUGCUAACGUGUGUAAAAUAUGCCUGAUACCUAGGGACGUAUCAUUAACGGUGUCAACUACCCCGGUAUCUCCUCCGGUUCGAGUGCCGAUCUUUAUUAUUUUGUCUAAAGAGUCCUUAUGCUGUUAGGUCAGUCCUCCUGGAGAUCUGAUAGCUGAUUUAUGAUUUUAUCCCGAGAUAUUACCUAACUUUGAACUCUGAGAGGUUAGAGGUACUACGUGUCUCCGAAUGAAAUCUUGUUAUCCCUGUGGGAUUUCCUGUGACAAUUGUCUCUUACCAUACCGAGUUUUACGAUCAGGUACUAACGCUGACGGCUCGAACCGCAUUAGUUACCCCGGUAGUCGCAACCGUUAUUGAUGCUCCCUUGCUAUCAAGUGUGUUUUAACCGUUUCUACUGCCACAAUUAUAUCCUGAAACUAGCAAUCUGCCAAUUACUGUUUCCAGGAUUAUACUUUUUUGACUUCUGCUGCACACCAC
rnacentral:rRNA from 1 species